UGGGGAAUAUUGGACAAUGGGGGAAACCCUGAUCCAGCCAUGCCGCGUGAGUGAUGAAGGCCUUAGGGUUGUAAAGCUCUUUCGUCGGGGAAGAUAAUGACGGUACCCGAAGAAGAAGCCUCGGCUAACUCCGUGCCAGCAGCCGCGGUAAGACGGAGGAGGCUAGCGUUGUUCGGAAUUACUGGGCGUAAAGCGUGCGCAGGUUGUAAGUUCAGUCUGAUGUGAAAGCCCGGGGCUCAACCUCGGAUGUGCAUUAGAUACUGGCUUGCUGGAGGUUGGAAGAGGAGAGUGGAAUUCCCAGUGUAGAGGUGAAAUUCGUAGAUAUUGGGAAGAACACCAGUGGCGAAGGCGGCUCUCUGGUCCACACCUGACACUCAAGCACGAAAGCGUGGGGAGCAAACA
rnacentral:rRNA from 1 species